rnacentral:rRNA from 1 species
AUGCAUUCAACAUUUUAUUUGCAGUUACAUUUUGAUCGUCACUCAACAAGACUGGCUGGUGUACUUAGCUUGUUUGGCUGUGAGGAUCGUAAUGCUGGAAUAUAUAUUGCUGAUUUGCUACUGAAUAUAAGGUUUGCAAUUUUUUCAGUUCGGUAUUACAUUGAUACCGAUGCAAGUUGUUCUUGCAUUCGUCAUAAUUUGUUGUUGCUUAAUGAAAUUUUGUUAAUUACAGGACCUUUACAAGAAUACCCUUCAUACCAUCACAGUGCUUACGUGUUGCCUAAAGCCAGCCGAGAUCUCAAGCUGUCAUUAAUUGGUAUGCCCAAUGUUGCCUAUUCGCACACAUAUAAAAGUCUAAAAGGUUACUCGUGUAUUUAUCUUAAGUUCCAAACUUUUAGACUAAACUAA